rnacentral:rRNA from 1 species
AUGGCCAGGAGGAAGCGAGCAAGUCAGCCCCUUGUUGUUGAACAAUGUUGGCCAACAAAAAAAGCAAGAGUCAAUGGAGGUAGAAAGAAGAGAAGUGUGCCUAAGCCUGAGCAGACUGAAGAAAAUCCUGCUGCAGUCAACAUUCAGACUGAAGAAACUGAUGUGGAGGUGCACAUCGAAGAAACUGAACCUGAGCGUGUCGAGGUUCAGACUGAAGAAACUAAACCUGAGCGUGUCGAGGUUCAGACUGAAGAAACCCAUGUUGAGAUCGACUGCGCCGAGGAGGACGGCAUCGUGGUGUUCCAGGGCGGCAGCAGGGUGAAGGCAGACGCCAUCGUGCACUACACUGUGGAGAUCGAUGUUAACCGAUGGAGAUGUGCUCGUCGUAGGUACAAGUACAGCUUCUCGUUCUUCGGCGACGACUCUGCUAUCACGGUGGACGACAACCGCGUCGGCCCGCUGUACAAGCACGUGUUCCCGCCGCGGCUGGCCCCUAGCAUCUCCUUCGUCGGACUGCCAUUCAAGGGAUUCCUUUUCCCAGUGUUCCAGCUCCAGAGCAGCUGGGUGGCCGGGGUUCUGUCGGGGAGGAUCGAGCUCCCGUCGUCAGAGCAGAUGACGCAGGACGUGGCGUCCUUCUACUCAGACAUGGAGGCCCGCGGACACUCAAAGAGGUUCACCCACGACCUGGGCGUAGGCACAUUCGAGUACGAGGAUUGGCUGGUUGAGCGGUGCGGGCUGGAGAGGAUCGAGGAGUGGAGGAAGGAGAUCUAUGUCGCGGCGAGAGGCAGGGUGAGGGACCAGCCGGACAGCUACCGGGACAAGUGGGAUGACGACGCCCAACUGUUGGAGCAAGCGCAACGUGAGAUCUCGCCAAGUUCUGAUCUUACCUCAUCGAGGGCUACUUGCGGUUCGGCUUAUUCGGAAAUGGAAUGGUUGAUGAUAUGA